rnacentral:rRNA from 1 species
GUGGGGAAUCUUGCACAAUGGGCGAAAGCCUGAUGCAGCGACGCCGCGUGGAGGAUGAAGGCCUUCGGGUUGUAAACUUCUGUUAAAUGGGAAGAAAGAACCAUGGUUAAUACCCAUGGGAGAUGACGGUACCAUUAGAGAAAGCACCGGCUAAACUCGUGCCAGCAGCCGCGGUAAUACGAGUGGUGCGAAUGUUAUUCGGAUUUAUUGGGCGUAAAGGGUGCGUAGACGGCAUAGUAAGUCAACUGUUAAAUUUUCCGGCCUAACCGGAAGCAAGCGGUAGAAACUACAAUGCUAGAGGAUGAGAGAGAGAAGUGGAAUUCUCGGAGUAGCGGUAAAAUGCGUAGAUAUCGAGAGGAACACCGAUGGCGAAAGCAGCUUCUUGGCUCAUUCCUGACGUUGAGGCACGAAAGCGUGGGGAGCAAACAGGAUUAGAUACCCCGGUAGUCC